ensembl:lncRNA RMST rhabdomyosarcoma 2 associated transcript
GUACACACAGUGGAGCCGAUUUCCGCGAUGGCGAGAGGGGGCACCGGAGGUGACAACAAUAACAAGACUGUCCUUCGGACAAGUUUUAGCGCUGAAUAUCUUCAGGAAAAUGGGUUCCAUGAGAAGUGACAUCCUCCUCGAAUCAAAAGAUUCUCAGGAUGAUGGAGUGAGUGAUGGAAUAGGUUGCCAACUGUAGUUACUCCACUCAGCACAGAAUGGCUGCGGGGAAAUAUAAUCAGACAUGCCCAAAGAAGUCUGCUUAGGGUGAAACAAAUACCUUUGAGGUUUAAAUCAGGUGUGUAAAGAAUAUUGGAAACAUGACUUGUUUUGUUUUUGUUUUUGCAUUUGUGUUUGUCAAGAAAAGUAGAAAGGCUGAUGCUUCUUGCCUGUUUUUCCAACUCUUUUAAUGCUAUAAAAUGCACCCCAAAUUUAACCCAUUCUCUCUCCUAGGAUUUGAUAUACCCAGUUUACUCCCUUGAAGGUCCUCUAUCUCAUCAAAGCUUUAGAUUUUAAAAGCAUGAUUGUAUAUUUUUAUUUUCAAAAAGAUUUUGAUUUUGGAGAUAUUUUAAAAUUGGAAAUUGAACUCAGAUAGGCUUUACCAUUUGUCUGUUUUCUUAGAAGAAUAAAUGCUAUUUGCAAUAUAAGAGUUAGCUGCCAGAAACCUAAGAAAGUUAUGUUCAAAUUAUUUUUACAAAUAGAUGUUCACAUCACCUUUAAACAGUAGUAAUGGCUCAGAAAAAAUCAAGCAAAGUUAACAUCUUUAAAAAAAUACAAACCACAUUGCUUUACAGGAUGAGGUUGUGCUUAAUAACGUAUGCUUAAUUCAUUCAGAAACUACACGAUUUUUGUUGCUAUAUUUUGUUAGAAAGGAAGGAGAGACUGUUUCUACAGGUGUCAUACAAAAAUCAAUACUGAGCCAAGGAUUAUUGGAUCCCAUAGAACCACGGAGACUUGGUAGUGAAAUUCUUCCAAAGGUGAGUAGGGGCAUUGAUUUCCUUUCCCAUGCCUGCAGAAAUAUGACACAAUUAACAGAGGCUAAGUUUAGACAGGAAAUAAGUCUGAUUUGAAACUGUACUGUAAAAGAAUUAGUGAUACUUUUUUCAAACAAAUAAAUGAGAAAAUGUAAGUAGAAUUUCAACAUAUACAUUUCUCUUAUUUAUUUUCUUAGAUUCUUUUCUUUAUUCUCUUGGGUACUUUUGAAAAAUAAACCACCAAAAAUGGACUCCUUGACUGACAUUUUAUCUGUAAUUCAGAUCCUGUGAUUUCCACGUGGAAUACUUGCAUUAUACGAUAUAAAAGAGUCUCUCUCUUAAACCUAUAACCAAGAAUGCAGCAACCCGUCAGUUUCCAAGAAAAAGCAUAUUAUCUACAUAAUCACAAUCACACUUACAAAUAUGAGCCCAUCACUAACCUUCCUUAUUUAAGCUAUGUAUUUUUCCAGCUAAUUUGUGCUAUAAUUUUUAGACACAAACUUGUUUGUUUACAUAUUUUACAGUUUUUUCUAGAUUUCUUAAAGCUAAAAAACUAUACAUAACAUACUGAUUGUUUGACUGCAUUACUUAGCAUUCCAUCCGUGCAGGCAGAUGGUGUUCCUAGGUUUGGAAAUAUAAAUCCCAUGGGAAGUCAGCUGAAGACCAUUUUAUGCAUCACUCAUCCUGUUAGAGCCCUGUGCUGUUCUGUCUCUCUAUAAGACUGGCUGAAACCACCACGGUUGUUUACAAUUUAUGCUCUAACUUUGGAUCACCUAGUUAAUACUCUAACUCCGAUUAUUACCAAAGACAAUGUUCUAUAAAAGAUAUUGUCUAUUAGAAGGAUGCUUCUGCAUUAUUAAUAAAAUCACAGGGAAAAUGCAACAUUUUGGAUGUCACAUCUGAUAAGUUGGCAGUUAAAGAACAGAAACAGCAAUAAGACUGCGUGGCUACAUUUUCCCAGUGCCACCAACUGGGAUUUAAGCUGACUAACAUUUUGAAAGCCCAGCCCAUUUCAUUCACAGCAGGAUGGCAGUGGGUGACUGAUCGUACCCGCCAGCUGGCUAAUGUCAUAAUUAACAAAGUUGCUACUACAUCUGCAAAGUUUAAUCGAAAAAUUUGCCAGUGAUAUGAUGGCCUUGUCACAGAGAUCACAAGGGACACGGAGUUGACUUUUGCUCAAGGUGGAACGACAGAGCUGUGUAGGCAAGAUGAGAAAUUGCGAACUUGUUCGGCCAAAGGAGGCUAAUAAUGAAGGGGCCGGGAAGGAGGCCAGUGCUACCAGGGUUAUCUCACAACCUCAGAUGCUGGAUAAGUCGACGGAGGCAGAAUCGCUUUGGGAUGACAUUCAGAAAGCCUGGAGUGAUUACUUGCAAGAGAAAAGCCUACCUAUUCUUUCCAAGGUGCAGGAAUAUUCCCCUGACCUGCUCAUCCAGUGGUCCAGUAAUGAAUUACUGGAGACCUGCCUUAGACAAAGAAUGCACUCGGAGCCCCAACACACCUAAAGCCAUGCUUUGAAGGAUCUGCCAAGCUCACUUUUAAUCAUGAGAAAGAAAUUACCCACACGGAGUCAGCAGAAAAUGAGAAAGUAGAGCUCGUGCUGUGAAUAAUUCCAGCAAGUGCCAAGGGGCUAGUUGAGGAAUGGCUUCAUGAGAACAUGCUCUAGGGGAACUAUUAAUAGCCCACCAGUCGGGUAGGCAGCAUUCAAUCCUUCUAUGCCUUCUUUCGCCACCUGUUGAGGUCUUUCUUCUGAAACAAAGAAGAAAUAGACAAAUCAGACUUGCCCUCUUGGAAAUGUGGUCCAGAUUUCUCUACUCCCAAGCUCCAAAAAAGGUAUACAUUGGAUGGGCUAGAUCAACUCCUCCUGAGAGCCAUAAAUCCGCCAAGAGUUGUUUUCCAUGUAAGGGUGUGGUACAAUGGGGAACACCUGAUGUUGGAGGAAAGCAGGAGGACUUUAGAGUGGAGUUGCAUUCUAAUCUCUCUGCCGCUUCAACUAUGUGACCUGGGGCAAAUGAUAUAAACUCUAUGAGCCUCUUUCCUUAUCUUUAAAAUGAAGAGAAGUAAUACCUACCUUGUAGGGCUGUUGUGAGGAUUAAAUGAAGUAAUGCAUACAGUGCCUAACAAAGUAUUUAACAUCAUAUUUUUUAAAAGCUCAUGAAAUAUUAGUUUUUCUUCCUUCCCCUCUUUCUAUUUUCUCUCCUGUUCCCUUUUCUCUCCCUCCUCUGCCCUCUCCUUCCUUCAGAUGUUAGUCUAAAACAGCACCUUGGAUCUAAGCAGCACCUUUGAGAAAGAAAAGACUGCUUCAAGAAUGUCUAGUUGCACCUCCUUUCCGUAUGUGGCCUAAAUGCCUAGGUUGGAUCAAUAGUUUAAUUUUUUUAUUGAACUGUUUAAUAUUGACUAUGGACUUACAUUCACUUUUACUGUUUUCUGUAUAUUUACUUUUGCUUGAAGUGUUUUAAUAUUGACUAUUUACCUC